rnacentral:misc_RNA from 1 species
CUCGGUGACUUAGAGCUGGGCACUGCAACAACACCUGUAUCUUCAUUCUCCUCAGAUGCUUUUCUCUUCUUAGGAUUUGAUGCACUACCUGAAACAGGUAGAGCAAGUAAAGAAUCAUCCUCUUGAGCUAAAGCUAACUGAACAGAACUUUUGUAGAAGUAUGUAAUAUCCUCAAGAGGCUGUCUAACCUUUCUUCUAAACUUUUUCUUGGAAAAAGGCACACUUGCAAGAACUGGGUUGGCUGGUUUUGCAGAGAAAGGUGGGAUGUUCUCUUUGUUGGUGUGGUUACAGAGAUUGCUG